rnacentral:lncRNA from 1 species
GUCUUUUUCCUGCCACCGAAUAAGGGAUGAUCACACACACGCCCCACUCCACCCCCACCUCGGCGCACAGUUCCUCUGUGAAGGGACAAGCGGGAUGGGGAAAGUUUGGCACCACGGCGGUGGUGGUGGCAGCAAGCAGCGGCGGCACACAGGGGUCCCGGUGGGAGGCAGGGUCGCUGAAAACCCCGGCCCGGUCGCCUCCUUACCUCGGUGCUUUCGACUGCGUUCUCCGCCAUUUUCCUCCGGAGGAGCAGGCAGCGGGAGGAGUGUUUCAUGCCCAUAAGAGCCAACAAGGGUUUGGGGAUUCGAGAUAGUAAAGAACGAGAGACGGCUGAUGUGGCUUUAAAAGAGAGCCUAAGAAUGCAAGAGGAGGGGGGAAAAAUCCCAGCCAGCCCCUCUCCCCGAGCGUCCUCCGCGACAAUCGAGCUCUGUGGAGUC